GUGCUCACUUCGGCAGCACAUAUACUAAAAAAAUGGGAAUGAUACAGAGAAAAUUAUCAUGGCCCCUGUGCAAGGAUGACUCGCAAAUUUGUGAGGCAUUCCCUAUUUUA